UGAGGUCCUCUUCUAAUAUAUACCAGAAUAUGCUGGUCCUGGAUUCAAAACGAUGCCAUUGGCGAGGGCCAGCAACUAGUGGGGGACCAGUCAUCACAACCAGAACCAAUGGGGAUGAAGACCACAGGAGCCUGGAUUAAGUGUGCACCAAGUUUCGCUUCCCAUUUUCCUAGAAAAGGCGAUACCAUUGGCUCCGCCUUUAGGUAGUUUGGAACUCUAAAAAGCAAUUGAUUUGAGGAAGAAACGGUGUAUGGACAUGAUGCAAGGUGUACUUACAUAUGGAACAAAGUUUAACUGCCAGCAGGGGGAGAACUAUACAGAAGAGCCUAUGGACUUCACAGAGCACUGGAGGUCAUGGGAUUGUGAAUUUCGGGAUAUGAAUCAUACAAUAGACUUUAUGGAUGCACAUACUACACUUCCCAUGGGACCCUGAGGAGGAAGAGGAGGAGAGAUAUGACUUUUAAGAAACCGAAUGGAAAGGUUCACUCUCUUGGCACCAGAGGACUCGAGGUGAGCACAACAUCAGCAGGCCGUGGCAGCAGGGACUGGAGUCCGAGACUGGGCGAUUCCGGCAGCUGAGAGAGGACCAGCAGGCAUCCGCAGUGAUCACAUCACACCCUGCUUGCAGAGAAACUGGAGCAAUUUUACAUAUUCACUCCCCCACACCCCCAAAUGCUGGAGCCACCAGUGUGAAGCUAUAAAGGGGCCCUUUUCUGCAGAAAGAACUCUGAAGUCAUGUUGCAAGGAUCUAUGAGAGGGAAGAUCACCUACCUUUUGAAUACUGUAAAGCUAAUUAUGAGUUGCUGAGAGCAGGACAAUAAUCCAUCUAGUGUCCAUACUGAAACACUACCGCAUAAAGACUGAAUCAACACUACAACCACUUCACACGCUCAUAUUGUGCCAACACUGCACAUAGACUGCAUCUAUACUGUAUGCUGGACCAUCAGGAUUGUUAAUAAGUGGACCAACGCUUAUUAGGGGCCCCAACUAUAGCCUGCAGGAGAACACCACAAAGAAAUGCCCCAUAUUAAGAAACUCUAUCAAAGCCCUUCCUCACCCCUACCUUUCAUCCAUCUACGGGUACCUCUUCAAAAUAGGCCUAGCAUAGCCUCCCUUAAAGCAUUUUGGCAGUAUAGUCUCCCAAGUUCAGUAAAUCUUUCCUCUUUACUGCCUUUAGCACUCAAGGCGACUUGCUAUAGUUCAUGCUGCUCCUUGCACUUAGUUCUGCUUUACAUCUUCAUCUGAUUACUGUUUCUAACAUAUUUUGGUUUGUUUCUUAUUAUCAUUAUACACGAUUUAUAUAGCACCAACAGUUUACGUGGCGCUUUACAAUGUAGACGGGCAUGGACCCCUACAUCCACCAGGUGGAUAUGGAGGUCAGAAAAUAUAUCCAUCGACCACCAUUGCCGAUCAUGUGAAACUUCCGUAUAUAAAUUUCAGUAAUUUAAGACGAAGUGUCUCCGACCUUGUAAACUUUUAAUCUAGUAUGUUUGAGGUACUUGUGAGGUCGAGACAAAAAGCAGAGAACUCUCCCCAUCCUGCGGCUUCUGCUGGGGUAGGGCUACAUAUGUAAGCUACAAGUC